rnacentral:rRNA from 1 species
GCUCCUAGCGAGCGUUUCGAAAAUGAAUCAAAACUUUCAACAACGGAUCUCUUGGUUCUGGCAUCGAUGAAGAACGCAGCGAAAUGCGAUAAGUAAUGUGAAUUGCAGAAUUCAGUGAAUCAUCGAAUCUUUGAACGCACAUUGCGCCCGCCAGUAUUCU